rnacentral:pre_miRNA from 1 species
UCUUACGGAUGAGCAGAGAAAGUAGUUUCUUGACAUGGAAUCUAUUCCUGGUGAAGAUGCUGUGAA